rnacentral:rRNA from 1 species
GACGAACGCUGGCGGCGUGCUUAACACAUGCAAGUCGAACGGAAAGGCCCUGCUUUUGUGGGGUGCUCGAGUGGCGAACGGGUGAGUAACACGUGAGUAACCUGCCCUUGACUUUGGGAUAACUUCAGGAAACUGGGGCUAAUACCGGAUAGGAGCUCCUGCUGCAUGGUGGGGGUUGGAAAGUUUCGGCGGUUGGGGAUGGACUCGCGGCUUAUCAGCUUGUUGGUGGGGUAGUGGCUUACCAAGGCUUUGACGGGUAGCCGGCCUGAGAGGGUGGCCGGCCACCUUGGGCCUGCGGUACGGCCCAGACGCCUACGGGAGGCAGCAGUGGGGAAUAUUGCCCAAUGGGCGGACGCCUGAUGCAGCAAUGCCGCGUGCGGGAUGACGGCCUUCGGGUUGUAAACCGCUUUCGCCUGUGACGAAGCGUGAGUGACGGUAAUGGGUAAAGAAGCACCGGCUAACUACGUG